UACUCCGGAACCCGGACGGCGUGGGCGC
rnacentral:sRNA from 1 species